CCUUAAAUUAAGGUGAAACCAUUUCUUUCCUAUGGCCACAAUUUGCAGAGAGAAAUACCAAAUUUCUGAGGCAUUGUCUCCUUUAGCCCACAUUACACAUACCCAAAUUCAACUGACACAAGUGGAUCCCACAAUACAGGGAAGAAAGAGAAAAUUUUAUUUAGACUCAAUCCACCAUAAACUCAAAAUACAGGUAAACGAGACUCACUUUCAUACGUAUAGGGUAACGUCUGUAUAAAAAUUUGCCGGAGGAAAUUGUUUGUUUGAAUCUUUCUCUCUUCCUUCGUCCAAGUACUUUGUUUCUUAUGUGAAAUCUUGUGUUAGAUUUCUUUUUGUCACUGUACAAACUAUAGCCCACAUCUGUUGGCAUUCCAAGAGAAUUAGAUUUGCUUCUUUUACCUUAGAUUUUGCUUCACCAAUUUUGGAAUUUACAUUUCCUUCUGAUUUUCUACCCAUUUUUACUUGCUUCAGUUUUUGCCUUAUCUCUUUGUAGGGUUUUGAACAAGGACUGUUCA
rnacentral:lncRNA from 1 species